GUACACGCUGUGACUAGCAUAUCAAUAAGCGGAGGAAAAGAAACUAACAAGGAUUCCCUUAGUAACGGCGAGUGAAGCGGGAAGAGCUCAAAUUUGAAAUCUUCAAGGUUUACCUUUACGAAUUGUAGUUUAAAGAAGUGUUUUCUGCUGAGGUUUUGGUAAAAGUUCUUUGGAAUAGGACAUCAUAGAGGGUGAGAAUCCCGUAUUUGACCUUUACUUUCAACUUUGUGAUACACUUUCAAAGAGUCGGAUUGUUUGGGAAUGCAGUCCAAAAUGGGUGGUAAAUUUCAUCUAAAGCUAAAUAUUGGCGAGAGACCGAUAGCGAACAAGUACCGUGAGGGAAAGAUGAAAAGAACUUUGAAAAGAGAGUUAAACAGUACGUGAAAUUGUCAAAAGGGAAGCGUUUGACACCAGUGUUGUUUUUCUGAAAAUCAAUUAAAGAACUGUUUAUGCUAAGCUGUUUAGACUUUAUCAGCUAUCUGUUUAGUUUUGAGCUUUUCUUUAAUGCACUUUUCAGUUAACAAGUCAACAUCAAUUUCUUUUGCUGUAAAAAAGCUUGAGGAAGGUGGCUUGAGAUUCGUCUUAAGUGUUUAUAGCCCUUUAGCCUCUGCAGUCGGAGAGAUUGAGGUCUGCAGCGUAGAUCCUUCGGGGCUAAAUGCAUUUGUGCUAAGUUAUAGCAUUUCAUAGACAACUUGUUGACUAUGAUUUGUCUUGUAGCUUACUCGCUUAUGUUAUUUUACCUACGCUUAGGAUGUUGAGCGCAUGUCUCUCUCU
rnacentral:rRNA from 1 species